CCAACCGCAAAGGAAGGCAACGGCCGCCAGGCUCACCGCCUCACCCGCCCUCCCGGAUGCCAUCCUCAACCCUGCCCGCACCACGCCGCCCCCUCGCUUCCUCUUCCCCUACCCUGGGAGAUCCCUUCUUUGCUUCUCCAUCGAAACCCCAAUCUUAGCUCGCGGCCCUCUGCCACGGGGUUCUCCACCCAAGCCCAGCGUGAUUUCGCCCUGUCCAUUGGACGACUUCGCUCGCCGUAGGUCAUUCCAACCUACCUAUUAAUUGACGAGAAAUAGGGUCGGUUUCUUAGCUGGUGAUUUCUGCUCCGCCGUUAAAGAUCGUGGAGUUUCCUGACCCAGGCUUGAAUUGAGGGCGAAGAACAAGCGUAUCUUAGAUGAUAAUUUGAAGACAUUGGUUGAGAAGAUGUUUGAAAUAUCCACCAGAGCUUCUGUCACAGUAAAAUUGGUCUAUGACAACUGGAGUUUGGACCUCUGAUACUCUUAUGUUUGAGAAUUUUAUACUCUGGACGGAGCCCGAUCCACCCUGUGAUAAUUUAAUAGGUGAAGAUAAAAAAUAUUGGGAAGAAUCUGGUCUCCCACCAGCGGAUAAAACUUAAUUUUUUUGGUCACUAUUGUAUAUUGGAUAAACAUCUAGUGAGAUGAUGCCUAAGACUAAGAACACUGGAACUUGCAUUCUAAGCUGUUUUAAGAACAGGGAAGGCCUAAAAAUGUAUUAAAAAAAUGAAGUCAAGUUGGUCCCCAUGAUCAUUUUGACUCUUCGUAUGAGGGUCAACAAUCACCAGAAUAAUCAUUUUGUAUGUCAUCAAACAGGAAAUUCCUGAAUGGCGUAUAGGCUAUACCGCAGCUCAUGUUGGUAUGAUGAAUCAUAACAUCUCUAGAAUUUUGAAGAUGUAUGCCAUCUGUGUUAAGGCUGCUUCCUGGUGAAUUGAUUGUCAUGUUGAAGACCUGGACGGCUUCACAAUUGUCAAACUUGAGGUGGCACUGUGGACUGUUCUGGAUUGUGAUGCCACUUACUGUGACAUUGUAACUCCCAUAGAAUCUCAGAGCCUGCAGAACAGAAUUAGAGAAGAAAAAAUAUGCAAAGUAUUGUUAAUCAUGUCUUGAUAUUGCUUUAUUGUUAGUGUUGCUGCAAGGCAAGAAAUCUUACAGUUGGCUUGAUCUGCGGCAGUUUCAUACUGAGCUCAGCAUUUAUCUGUCAAAGGUUUCACCAUUAGGAAUAUCUGAUGAAUAUUAUGAUUAUUAUUAGAAUGGGAUAUGAGUCUGAAGGAUGAAAGUCAGGAGUUUUUGUUGAAUAUAUAUUGUGAGAUGGUACUUAUUCCUCAAGGUGACAGGAAUUACUUUGACAGAAAAUGAACCUGGAUUGGUUUUUCUUCUCUGGUAAGCAGAUAAGAAUUCUAGAAAUUGGGAACAGUGGGCAGAUCUAUUCAUAUAUUUAUGAUGGAGAUAGAUGUUUAUGUGGCUUACUGGAUCAACAUCAGACUCCAUAGUUGUCCACCAUACACUGCCUUGCCCUUCUAUUGUUCCACUGCCUUGAAUUGAUAUUCCUUGCAGCUUUGAGAACUCAAUCCACCACAGUAGCCCAGAACCCCACCUUUUGGCAUCAGUUGGAGCAAUGAUCAUUCCAUCCAGCUGCAAGAGAGUUCAGUUCUUCAUGUGUGUUUCAUUUUCUACAGAGCAUAUCAGUUUUCUCCUUUUGUUUGGACCCUGCUGCUAAACUUAGUUAAACCUUUUCUGUGGAGGAAGGAAUAACUUAAAUUAAACCUGUUUAUUCAUUACCAAUAGUUCCGAUGGUUCUUAUCACAGGUUUGCUUAUGUAAGAGGUAGCUGCUGUUGCUGUGGGGGUUUCAUGGCUCAUACCCAUCCAAUCUAUCAAUAACAAAUUCUUGUCAAAUUAUACAAAUGUAUCUAAACUGGUUAACACUAGGAUCUAAUGUGAUAACUAUCUGAUUCUGGAUACCUGUCUUGGUUCCUUGAACCCAUGUAUUAAAUCUUUUAAGUUGUGGUCAGGCACAACCUGGACCUACACAAUGGAUCAUGAUGAAACCUACUUGCCAAUAUAGUGACCAAUUGUUUCUAGCAAACUGUAGUACACAAGUAUCCUAUUUAGUUGUUUUUUCUUGUCAGUUAUUUGUUUUGAGGAUUUUGUUUUCAGGAUUGAGCUGCGUGAUAUACCUGGAGAGCAAUGUUGGUCUGACAAUAAGGUCCAGAGAAGGAGAUAGGGCCUACAAGGAAUUCAAAUUCUGCUGGAACAACCACAGUUGACCCUUCCACCUUGCAAGCAGCAGCCCAUGCAGCCUGGAAGGCCUGCAUUUGUUCAUGAAGUCAGGUGUUAAAUGUGAUAAAAUGCCAAUCAAGGAGAGCCAUGCUGGUUUGUAAUGGUCAGCAAUGUGGAUUGGUUUCAGCUAAUACCAACAAGGAUACGAGGAGAAGGUAACAAUGGCUACCUCGGUGUCAUCUGCGAUGCCAUCUCCCUUUGCUCCGAAAUCGAGCACAUUGAACAUGGCUGUCUUCAUCGGAUACUCUGUUAUCGGGUUUGGGCUCAGAGUUGCACUCAGGGACAACACUACCCUAACAGCUUGCUGCAAGCUAGUCCAGGAGUUCUGCAGCCUCUGCUACAUGCACAUCAACUCGUAACAGUGACAUGAAAGAUUACAAUUCCACGAAAACUCCAUCACAGAGGAGAGGGUUUCUGUAAGUGUGUUUCUUCCUGAUGCAUGCAAAGGCCGAAGUAGGGCACAUGAGUGGGGCAAUGACAACAGCAGCUGCUCCUGAUCACAUGCAGCUGAUCACGGGCGGGAGGAUACUGCUUUGUCCACUCUGGGAGUCAGGUUGAUCCAUUAGUAGCAAUCUGUACCUACGCUAGCAAUCUGUGCAAUCAUGGAGGAUGACAGAAUACAUACUCAAACAUCAGAACAGUGUGCCCUGUAGAAAGAUUCAUGGCUCCCAGAGUUCUAAUGCACAUGCUACUUGGAUCAGAAGGCAUCCAACAAUAGUUCACUUUCCCCAAAAGAAACCCUAAACAUUGAAGAAGAGCCAGGAGUCACACAGAUCAUUCUGGAACAGCUUCAAGAAAUAGCAACCACAACAGUUCUAACCAGGAAAAGAAUAAGAAAUGGUUAAUCUGCAGCUCAAGUGAGGACUGUGCCAAGGACUGUCAGUUGUACUUCAUCACCUGCAGCAAAAUGGUUCCAUUCUGAUAUUUAUGUGGGCGAUACACUGAGAUCACCUUCUUUUCUGAUUGAAGCUUCACGAUAGAAAACAAUCAAAGUCUGCUGCCCUGGGCAAGUAAGUGAACAACUAAGCCAUGGGCUCCAUUCUGCUAUUUCUGUGGGCGAUAAGCUGAGAGCACCUUUUCUGAUUGAAGCUUCGUGGCUGAAAACAAUCCAAGUCUGCUGUCCAAGGCAAGUGAAUACCUAAGCCAUGCUUUUAGUGUGGUCUGCACUCUUGUGACCCACAGUACAUACAUGCAUUGCAGUUCUUCAUCUCACCCUGUUCAAAAGAUGAUCAGAACAGAUUGAAAGAAACAAUGGCCUUGACCCAUCAGAGCGAGAGUAAAAUAAAAUAAUUUAGACAAAAGAAAAGAUAUCUCAAAUAUAUUCACUAAAAACUUGACACAAUUUACUUAUUUUAAUAAUAAUAAUAAUAAUAUCAUAAGUUUUAAUUAUUUAAAGUCGACUAUAUGAAUCUUUUAUCAUGUUACUGAGAAAAAAGAAUACAAAACAUAACUAUAUACAGUCUAAGGAUAGACUCUGAAGACAAUAUAUCAUAUUUAAUCUCUUAUGAGGUAAAAUUUAAAUUGGACUCUUCCUGGGUACUGAAUUUUAAUUUAACUUGUCUUUUAUGUGAGAUAUUUGAAAAUUUCAACUUUUAGGGGUUUUGUAAAGAUAUUCGGUACUUGUUCAUUUGUUUUUGCAUGAAGUAGCUUCACAUCUUUAUGCUGCUUUCUUAUAAAAUAAAAGAUUAUGUCAA